UGGUGGAGCGAUUUGUCUGGUUAAUUCCGUUAACGGACGAGACCUCGUCCUCUAGUUAGAGAUACCAACAUUUCCGGUUGGGAAAGCUUCUUAGAGGGACUGUCGGGUUAUUAACCGAAGGAAGCUCGAGGCGAUAACA
rnacentral:rRNA from 1 species